rnacentral:tRNA from 1 species
CAGGGAGACAACAAAAUGUUUAAUAUUAUUAUUUUGUCACCUUAGGUCGAUCGGUAUCUCACGUUCUUAAUUUGUUAAGAAUUUCAUUUCCUAAGUUUUUCUAGGUCACACCCAUUAUUUUUCCUGGGCCAUUAGCUCAGGUGGUUAGAGCGCACCCCUGAUAAGGGUGAGGUCCCUGGUUCAAGUCCAGGAUGGCCCAUAUCUCUAUGUUGGGGGUAUAGCUCAGUUGGUAGAGCGCCUGCUUUGCAAGCAGGAUGUCAGCGGUUCGAGUCCGCUUACCUCCACUGAUUACCACCUCUUUCAUAACUGGUAGAAAGGAAAUGUUUUGAGUUGUGAUUAUUAUUCUGAACGAAUCUAGCUUCCUAAUGAAAUCAUUAAGAUGCUGGACUCAUUGAAUUAAUUUCAUUGUUUUCAGAGAACCUUGACAACUGCAUAGAUUUUUUUAAAGACAAUAAGCAUCUUUAAUGAUGCAGAUUUAUUAUUUGUGCGAAUGCAUUAAUAACAAUUCUAUUAAGCUGAUGCUUCAAUUUUUGAAGUUAUU